UACGGAGGGGACUAGCGUUGUUCGGAAUUACUGGGCGUAAAGCGCACGAGGCGGAUUUGUAAGUCAGGGGUGAAAUCCCGGGGCUCAACCUCGGAACUGCCUUUGAUACUGCAAAUCUCGAGUCCGGAAGAGGUGAGUGGAAUUCCUAGUGUAGAGGUGAAAUUCGUAGAUAUUAGGAAGAACACCAGUGGCGAAGGCGGACUC
rnacentral:rRNA from 1 species